AUGGUUUGUGUUUCAGAUGACCUGGAGGCUGUUUCAGUCAGGCAGUUCAUCAAACACAUCAUGGAGCAGUACUCCAACAACCAACAUGGCUUUUCUCAGGAGUUCGAUGAGGUUCAACACUGCACAUCUGAAAUGAAGAUUACAGCAGAACGUUCAAACCAACCAGACAACAAGCACAAAAACAGAUACAUCAACAUUGUUGCCUAUGACCACAGCAGAGUGAAGUUGCAGCAACUGUCUGGGAAAGACUCCAAGCACAGUGAUUACAUCAAUGCCAACUAUGUAGACGGUUAUAAAAGACCCAGGGCUUAUAUAGCAGCUCAGGGCCCUCUGAAGUCCACAUUUGAGGACUUUUGGAGAAUGAUUUGGGAACAGAACACCACUGUGAUUGUCAUGAUCACCAACUUGGUGGAGAAAGGCAGGAGAAAAUGCGAUCAGUAUUGGCCAUCAGAGAACAGCGAGGUUUAUGGGAACAUAAUGGUGACUCUGAAGAGCACUAAAGUUUAUGCUUACUACACACUCCGCCAUUUCAUCAUGCGCAACACCAAACUGAAAAAGGGUCAGAAGGGAAGGCAUAACGAACGGCUGGUUGUCCAGUACCAUUACACACAGUGGCCAGACAUGGGCGUACCCGAGUAUACACUACCAGUCCUCAAAUUCAUCUCUCGAUCUUCAGCAGCCCGUACGCCAGGCACAGGCCCUGUUCUAGUUCACUGCAGUGCUGGAGUUGGCAGAACAGGCACAUACAUAGUCAUAGACAGCAUGCUGCAGCAGAUAAAGGACAACGGCACUGUCAACGUCCUAGGAUACCUCAAGCACAUCCGAGCUCAGCGCAACUACUUGGUCCAGACUGAGGAGCAGUUUAUCUUUAUCCAUGAUGCAUUAAUGGAAGCUGUGCUUGGCAAAGACACCGAGGUGCCUGUCUGGCAACUCCAUAGUUAUGUCAACAGCAUUCUCACCUCGAGCCCCACAGGACAAACACGCAUGGACAAACAAUUUAAGUUGUUGACGCAAUGCAAUUCUCACCUCACUGAGUGUUUCAGUGCCCAGAAAGACUGCAACAAAGAGAAGAACCGCACCUCGUCGGUCUUGCCAAGUGAGUCAAUGAAAUCAAUGUUUAUCCACUCACAGGGCUAUUACAGGAGCAACGAGUUCAUCAUUACCCAGCAUCCUCUGCCCCACACAACCACAGACUUCUGGAGGAUGAUCUGGGAUCAUAAUGCUCAAGUUAUUGUGAUGUUGCCAGACAACCUCGGCCUUGAUGAAUUUGUGUACUGGCCCAGCAGAGAGGAGCCCAUGAACUGCGUAGCUUUCACUGUCACCCUCAUUAAUACUGACAGACUCUGCUUAUCUAAUGAGGAGCAACUCAUCAUCCACGACUUCAUCCUAGAAGCCACACAGGAUGACUAUGUGCUAGAAGUCCGACAUUUUCAAUGUCCAAACUGGCCAGAUCCUGAUGCAUCCAUCAGCAGCACAUUUGAGCUCAUCAACAUCAUCAAAGAAGAGGCUAUGGCAAGGGAUGGUCCCACCAUCGUGCAUGAUGAGUUUGGCGCCAUCUCUGCCGGGAUGUUCUGUGCUCUGACCACACUUUCCCAACAACUGGAGAACGAGAGUGCUGUGGAUGUCUAUCAAGUGGCCAAAAUGAUUAACCUCAUGAGGCCUGGCGUCUUCACUGAAAUUGAGCACUAUCACAACCUUUACAAGGCUAUGCUCAGCCUUGUCAGCAGUAAAGACUUCAGACUUGGCUUCAACUACAUGGACAAAAUUGCUGGGAUAGUGGUAACAGAUGAAUCCAACCAGGCUGAGAGCAUGGAGUCCUUGGUGUGAAGUUUUCGGGAAAAUGAGAUGGAACAAAGUGGUUCCUUGAACUUUCCAUGAGGCCUUUUUUCCCAGACUCUUGGUGAAAUAAAAAAGAAAAAAACAACA
rnacentral:lncRNA from 1 species